rnacentral:rRNA from 1 species
UUUGAUCCUGGCUCAGGACGAACGCUGGCGGCGUGCUUAACACAUGCAAGUCGAACGGUAAGGCCCUUCGGGGUACACGAGUGGCGAACGGGUGAGUAACACGUGGGUGAUCUGCCCUGCACUUCGGGAUAAGCUUGGGAAACUGGGUCUAAUACCGGAUAGGACCACGGUCUGCAUGGAUUGUGGUGGAAAGCUUUUGCGGUGUGGGAUGGGCCCGCGGCCUAUCAGCUUGUUGGUGGGGUGAUGGCCUACCAAGGCGACGACGGGUAGCCGGCCUGAGAGGGUGUCCGGCCACACUGGGACUGAGAUACGGCCCAGACUCCUACGGGAGGCAGCAGUGGGGAAUAUUGCACAAUGGGCGCAAGCCUGAUGCAGCGACGCCGCGUGGGGGAUGACGGCCUCGGUU